CAGUAGCCGCGCGGGAAUACGGAGGAUCCAAGCGUUAUCCGGAAUCAUUGGGUUUAAAGGGUCCGUAGGCGGUCUUGUAAGUCAGUGGUGAAAGCCCAUCGCUCAACGGUGGAACGGCCAUUGAUACUGCAGGACUUGAAUUAUUGGGAAGUAACUAGAAUAUGUAGUGUAGCGGUGAAAUGCUUAGAGAUUACAUGGAAUACCAAUUGCGAAGGCAGGUUACUACCAAUUGAUUGACGCUGAUGGACGAAAGCGUGGGUAGCGAACAGGAUUAGAUACCCCUGUAGUCCCUGUCUCUUAU
rnacentral:rRNA from 1 species